UACGGGGGGGGCAAGCGUUGUUCGGAAUUACUGGGCGUAAAGGGCUCGUAGGUGGCCAACUAAGUCAGACGUGAAAUCCCUCGGCUUAACCGGGGAACUGCGUCUGAUACUGGAUGGCUUGAGUUUGGGAGAGGGACGCGGAAUUCCAGGUGUAGCGGUGAAAUGCGUAGAUAUCUGGAGGAACACCGGUGGCGAAGGCGGCUCUCUGGACCGAUACUGACGCUGAGGCGCGAAAGCGUGGGGAGCAAACAGG
rnacentral:rRNA from 1 species